rnacentral:tRNA from 1 species
GCCCGUAUGGCUCAGUUGGUAGAGCAUGGUGUUUGCAACGCCAGGGUUGUGGGUUCAAUUCCCACGGGGGACC